rnacentral:rRNA from 1 species
UACAGAGGCCUCGAGCGUUAGGCGGAAUCACUGGGCUUAAAGCGUGUGUAGGCGGACUUCUAAGUACCUUGUGAAAGCCCACGGCUUACCCGUGGAACGGCUGGGUAUACUGGUUGUCUUGAGCCACUUAGGGGCUACCGGAACAAAUGGUGGAGCGGUGAAAUGCGUAGAUAUCAUUUGGAACGCCAAUGGUGAAAACAGGUAGCUGGGAGUGUGCUGACGCUGAGACACGAAAGCCAGGGGAGCGAACGGG